CGGAGGGUGCAAGCGUUAAUCGGAAUUACUGGGCGUAAAGCGUGCGUAGGCGGUUCGUUAAGUCAGAUGUGAAAGCCCUGGGCUCAACCUGGGAACUGCAUUUGAAACUGGCGGACUAGAGUUUAGUAGAGGGGAGUGGAAUUUCAGGUGUAGCGGUGAAAUGCGUAGAUAUCUGAAGGAACACCAGUGGCGAAGGCGACUCCCUGGACUAGAACUGACGCUGAGGUACGAAAGCGUGGGUAGCAAACAGGA
rnacentral:rRNA from 1 species